rnacentral:rRNA from 1 species
UACGUAGGGUGCAAGCGUUUAUCCGGAUUCACUGGGUUUAAAGGGUGCGUAGGCGGGCAGGUAAGUCCGUGGUGAAAUCUCUGAGCUUAACUCAGAAACUGCCAUGGAUACUAUUUGUCUUGAAUGUUGUGGAGGUAAGCGGAAUAUGUCAUGUAGCGGUGAAAUGCUUAGAUAUGACAUAGAACACCCAUUGCGAAGGCAGCUUACUACACAAAUAUUGACGCUGAGGCACGAAAGCGUGGGGAUCAAACAGG